CCGACGGUGAGAGGUGAAAGCUGGGGGAGCAAACCGGAUUAGAUACCCGGGUAGUCCCAGCCGUAAACGAUGUGCGUUAGGUGUAUCGGUGGCCACGAGUCACCGAGGUGCCGAAGAGAAAUCGUGAAACGUACCGCCUGGGAAGUACGGUCGCAAGGCUGAAACUUAAAGGAAUUGGCGGGGGAGCACCACAACAGGUGGAGCCUGCGGUUUAAUCGGACUCAACGCCGGGAAACUCACCAGAUAAGACAGCUGAAUGAUAGUCGGGCUGAAGACUCUACUUGACUAGCUGAGAGGAGGUGCAUGGCCGUCGUCAGUUCGUACUGUGAAGCACCCUGUUAAGUC
rnacentral:rRNA from 1 species